rnacentral:rRNA from 1 species
AUUGAACGCUGGCGGCAGGCCUAACACAUGCCAGUCGAGCGGAUGAAGGGAGCUUGCUCCUGGAUUCAGCGGCGGACGGGUGAGUAAUGCCUAGGAAUCUGCCUGGUAGUGGGGGAUAACGUCCGGAAACGGGCGCUAAUACCGCACACGUCCUGAGGGAGAAAGUGGGGGAUCUUCGGACCUCACGCUAUCAGAUGAGCCUAGGUCGGAUUAGCUAGUUGGUGGGGUAAAGGCCUACCAAGGCGACGAUCCGUAACUGGUCUGAGAGGAUGAUCAGUCACACUGGAACUGAGACACGGUCCAGACUCCUACGGGAGGCAGCAGUGGGGAAUAUUGGACAAUGGGCGAAAGCCUGAUCCAGCCAUGCCGCGUGUGUGAAGAAGGUCUUCGGAUUGUAAAGCACUUUAAGUUGGGAGGAAGGGCAGUAAGUUAAUACCUUGCUGUUUUGACGUUACCAACAGAAUAAGCACCGGCUAACUUCGUG